CUCUCGUUAUCUUCUCUUAUUAGGGUUCAACUUCUUCUUCUUGGUUUGAGGUCCAAUAAUCAUCGAUCUUUGUACACACGGGGUGAUGAUGAUGAUAACGAUUAUCAGAAAUAUUUCUCUUCUUUUAUCCUUCUUAUCUGAAUCAGAUUCAAUUUGUCUCUCGUUCUCUUCUCUAUUACGAGAAACUCUAUUGGCCAAAUGAUUGUAUUCUUUAAAACUCGUACCAAAAAUCCAGUAGCCAACAGUUGAGAUGAAGAACUAAUGAACUAGAAGAAGACUUCCAGAACUUCUAAAAGAUUGUGGGAUGUAAGGAGUGGGAAGAUUAUGCACACAAUAGAAACUAGUUCACCUUUGAAACGUAACCGAAGUUAGUCGGGAUGGUCGUUAUAUCACCACCUAAGACGGUUCCACUGUUAAAUUUUAGGAUGAAAAUCAUUUUGGACUAGUGAAGACCUAUGACAUGUCAUGCACUUUGGAAUUGGCUUUUGUGGAACCGAAGCUUGGAAAUAAGUUUGUAGCUGCUAGAGAAGACAUCUGGAUACGAUUGUUUGAUUGUUCGAUCUAGAAGAGAAAUAUAGAGAAGUAAACGCAACCGUCAAAGAAAAAGAAUUUUUGAUAUCUAAUCUCCUUCGAGCAGGUGAGCGGGAAUCUAUUUUUAUUUCUUCAGUUAGCUUAUUGAUGCAUAUGAGCAGUGGAGAUUCCUAUUUCUUCGGUACCCAAGAAAACAUUGGUAUUGGAUACUUAAUUUGGAUUGCCUCUUCAUAUUCCCACCUCACAACCUUUGUUUUGUGCAUGCUUGUUGUCUUUUGGCCUAGUAGUCUCAGUACCAUUGGUUUAUGCUUAUUGUAUUGUUACAUUCUUGAUGUUUGACCAAGUCGAAUUGACAAGUUUUCUUUCUAAUUGUCUUCAUUGUCAUUUGGUUUGGUUAUUUAGAAUUGACUAUCCUUUUGAAUAUUUUUCCAGGAAUUGGAGAAGGAAGACACUAUGGGGGUUAUUUAUAAUUGACUAUCCUUUUGAAUAUUUUUUCAGGAAUUGGAGAAGGAACACACUAUGGAAGGUGUACAAGCAGCUAAAAGCUUUGUUUUUUUUUUUCCUUCUGGGUGUUUUUAAGUUCAUUAAUUAGGUAGUCUUGGUUCUAAAACACUGGUAACUUGAUAUUGUUGGAUUAAUAUGGUUAUAAAUGAACAGGGUAACUUCAUUUUGGUA